UGCCAGCCGCCGCGGUAAUACGUAGGUGGCAAGCGUUAUUCGGAUUUAUUGGGCGUAAAGGGUCCGUAGGGGGGUUGUUAAGUCUGAUGUGAAAGCCCGCGGCUCAACCGCGGAAUUGCAUUGGAAACUGGCGACCUAGAGCAUAGGAGAGGUGAGUGGAAUUCCUGGUGUAGCGGUGGAAUGCGUAGAUAUCAGGAGGAACACCGGAGGCGAAGGCAGCUCACUGGACUAUUGCUGACCCUGAGGGACGAAAGCUAGGGGAGCGAACAGGAUUAGAUA
rnacentral:rRNA from 1 species